GAUUUCUGCCUGCCUGAGGCCUUCUGAAGCAUUCAAACACGAAUAUCUGACCAGGAAAUUUCUGGUUAGGGCUGCUCUUCAUUUCCUGAAGAUGGUCAAAAUAUAUACGUCUAUUGUUUUAACAAGGUUCAAUCAUGGAAGAUUUCUGAAACUUAAAACAGAUUUUUUUUCUAAGGACAGUACACUACAAUGUAGACUCCAGGAAUAAAAUUAAAAACUGUUGAAGUGACUUGGAAUUAACAUAGUCCUUGAAUCCUUAUGAGAAGGGCAAGUACCAAAACCAGAACUCUUUUUCUAUCUGUGAUACCUGGCUGCUCUCCUCUGCGGAAGAGAGAAUGAGAAGGUUUGUUGAAGAAGUGAGAAGUGCUUUUGCUACAGCUAUCCAGUUAAAUUUCAGGUUGUGGGAAAUCCUGAUCUAGGAUCUCUGGAACACUGUCUUACAGACUAGAAUGUUGCUAAAACAUGAACACCUCCUGAUCAGAUUUCAGAGGGAGAAAUGUUAGCUUAGCACUUCAUUAUUUUGUUGUUGUGAUAGGACUUUGAGUGUUCUCCUCACAAGAACUUUUUACCACUGAAAAAAUUACUCAGUGUUUACGUAUUUACAGAUAACAGUAUAUUAUAUAUGAACAGUUAGAUAUUCAAGAACUUGUCUCCUGAUUUUUGUCAACUGUAUUUGUAACAUAAUCCUUGUUCUUUAAUGUUUAAACGUUACAGACAGACAUUACUCUUUGCUGUGAUUCUUGUUUGAAGUCAUUAAUA